rnacentral:rRNA from 1 species
AUUGAACGCUGGCGGCAGGCCUAACACAUGCAAGUCGAGCGAGCGGCGGACGGGUGCGUAAUGUAUGGGCCUCUGCCCGAUCGAGGGCGAUAACUACUGGAAACAGUCGCUAAUACCGCAUACUAUCGGAUGUACCCAUAUGGGUUUAUCUAGUAGGUGGGGUAAAGGCUCACCUAGGCGACGAUCUCUAGCUGGUCUGAGAGGAUGAUAAGCCACAAUGGUACUGAGAUACGGCCCAGACUCCUACGGGAGGCAGCAGUGGGGAAUAUUGCACAAUGGGCGCAAGCCUGAUGCAGCCAUGCCGCGUAUAUGAAGAAAGCCUUAGGGUUGUAAAGUACUUACAGCGGGGAGGCGUUACGCGCAGAAGAAGCACCGGCUAACUCCGUGCCAGCCGCCGCGGUAAUAC